rnacentral:miRNA from 1 species
AGGGUAUAUAAGCCUUCACUGG